GUCCGUGUAGCCCAACUGGUAGAGGCGGCGCCCUCAAACGGCGCGCGAUCUCGGUUCGAAUCCGAGCAUGGACA
rnacentral:tRNA from 1 species